rnacentral:rRNA from 1 species
GGGAGCUCUCCCAUAUGGUCGACCUGCAGGCGGCCGCGAAUUCACUAGUGAUUCGUAUUACCGCGGCUGCUGGCACAGAGUUAGCCGGUGCUUAUUCUGUCGGUAACGUCAAAACAGCAAAGUAUUAAUUUACUGCCCUUCCUCCCAACUUAAAGUGCUUUACAAUCCGAAGACCUUCUUCACACACGCGGCAUGGCUGGAUCAGGCUUUCGCCCAUUGUCCAAUAUUCCCCACUGCUGCCUCCCGUAGGAGUCUGGACCGUGUCUCAGUUCCAGUGUGACUGAUCAUCCUCUCAGACCAGUUACGGAUCGUCGCCUUGGUGAGCCAUUACCCCACCAACUAGCUAAUCCGACCUAGGCUCAUCUGAUAGCGCAAGGCCCGAAGGUCCCCUGCUUUCUCCCGUAGGACGUAUGCGGUAUUAGCGUCCGUUUCCGAACGUUAUCCCCCACUACCAGGCAGAUUCCUAGGCAUUACUCACCCGUCCGCCGCUCUCAAGAGAAGCAAGCUUCUCUCUACCGCUCGACUUGCAUGUGUUAGGCCUGCCGCCAGCGUUCAAUCUGAGCCAUGAUCAAACUCUAAUCGAAUUCCC